rfam:Schistosoma mattheei strain Denwood, Zambia genome assembly, scaffold: SMTD_scaffold0000191
CACUUCUAAACCCGUGACGAGAUUUCGUCAGACACCAGACAAUCAGGAUUGAUCAAACUCCCAAGAUAAGUGAAGUU